rnacentral:rRNA from 1 species
UACAGAGGUCUCAAGCGUUGUUCGGAUUCAUUGGGCGUAAAGGGCGCGUAGGCGGGCGGCCGAGUCCGGGGUGAAAGCCCCCAGCUCAACUGGGGAAGUGCCUCGGAUACCGGCCGUCUCGAGGGAGAUAGGGGCGUGCGGAACUUCCGGUGGAGCGGUGAAAUGCGUAGAUAUCGGAAGGAACACCGGUGGCGAAGGCGGGUCUCUGGGCCGAUACUGACGCUGAGGAGCGAAAGCGUGGGGAGCGAACAGG